rnacentral:lncRNA from 1 species
GGACCCCUCCCUGGACAGAGUGGCCCAUAUAAGGGGUCCCUUUGUCCCGUCGGUUUCUCUGCACACAGAAGCCGUCCAGUCGCUGCGUCCCGAAUUCGCCUUCUGCUUUGGUCCGAACCAUUAUUUGCUAUCAUGCAGGUGCAACACAGGGUCCUAGCGCUCGCAGGUGCGGUGGUCCUACUCCUGGCCAUUGUGGCGGCUGAUCGUAAGUCACACACCUAAAUAGAAGGAAGGAAGGGGAGCGGGGCCAAAAUUGGGGGGUCCUGAGCUAGUGAAAGAGGGGAGCUGAGCAUCACUAGUUGCAAUGGAAAGAAGCCA